rnacentral:rRNA from 1 species
GAUGAACGCUGGCGGCGUGCCUAAUACAUGCAAGUCGAGCGAACAGACGAGGAGCUUGCUCCUCUGACGUUAGCGGCGGACGGGUGAGUAACACGUGGAUAACCUCCCUAUAAGACUGGGAUAACUUCGGGAAACCGGAGCUAAUACCGGAUAAUAUAUUGAACAGCAUGGUUCAUUAGUGAAAGACGGUUUUGCUGUCAAUUAUAGAUGGAUCCGCGCCGCAUUAGCUAGUUGGUAAGGUAACGGCUUACCAAGGCAACGAUGCGUAGCCGACCUGAGAGGGUGAUCGGCCACACUGGAACUGAGACACGGUCCAGACUCCUACGGGAGGCAGCAGUAGGGAAUCUUCCGCAAUGGGCGAAAGCCUGACGGAGCAACGCCGCGUGAGUGAUGAAGGUCUUCGGAUCGUAAAACUCUGUUAUUAGGGAAGAACAAAUGUGUAAGUAACUAUGCACGUCUUGACGGUACCUAAUCAGAAAGCCACGGCUAACUACGUG